CCUACGGGGGGCAGCAGUGAGGAAUAUUGGUCAAUGGGCGCGAGCCUGAACCAGCCACGUAGCGUGAAGGAUGACUGCCCUACGGGUUGUAAACUUCUUUUAUAAAGGAAUAAAGUGAGGCACGUGUGCCUUUUUGUAUGUACUUUAUGAAUAAGGAUCGUCUAACUCCGUGCCAUCAGCCGAGGUAAUACGGAGGAUCCGAGCGUUAUCCGGAUUUAUUGGGUUUAAAGGGAGCGUAGAUGGGUUGUUAAGUCAGUUGUGAAAGUUUGCGGCUCAACCGUAAAAUUGCAAUUGAUACUGGCAGUCUUGAGUACAGUUGAGGUAGGCGGAAUUCGUGGUGUAGCGGUGAAAUGCUUAGAUAUCACGAAGAACUCCGAUUGCGAAGGCAGCUUACUAAACUGCCACUGACAUUGAUGCUCGAAAGUGUGGGUAUCAAACAGGAUUAGAUACCCUUGUAGUC
rnacentral:rRNA from 1 species